rnacentral:rRNA from 1 species
UACGAGUGCCUCAAGCGUUAUCCGGAAUUAUUGGGCGUAAAGGUUGUGUAGGUGGUCGUGUUAGUCUUCUGUUAAAUUCUUCGGCUUAACCGGGGGCAUGCAGAAGAAACGGCACGACUCGAGGAUGCGAGGGGUCUGCGGAACUCAUAGUGUAGCGGUGAAAUGCGUUGAUAUUAUGGGGAACACCAAAAGCGAAGGCAGCAGACUGGAGCACUCCUGACACUGAAACAAGAAAGCGUGGGUAGCGAAUGGG